rfam:Salmo salar isolate Sally breed double haploid chromosome ssa02, whole genome shotgun sequence.
UGCACUCAAUAUUGUAAGUCACUUUGGAUAAAAUUGUCUGCUAAAUGAGAUUUU